rnacentral:rRNA from 1 species
AUUGAACGCUGGCGGCAUGCUUUACACAUGCAAGUCGAACGGCAGCGCGGGCUUCGGCCUGGCGGCGAGUGGCGAACGGGUGAGUAAUACAUCGGAACGUGCCCAGUAGUUGGGGAUAGCUCGGCGAAAGCCGGAUUAAUACCGCAUACGACCUGAGGGUGAAAGCGGGGGAUCUUCGGACCUCGCGCUAUUGGCGCGGCCGAUGGCAGAUUAGCUAGUUGGUGGGGUAAAGGCCUACCAAGGCGACGAUCUGUAGCUGGUCUGAGAGGACGACCAGCCACACUGGGACUGAGACACGGCCCAGACUCCUACGGGAGGCAGCAGUGGGGAAUUUUGGACAAUGGGCGAAAGCCUGAUCCAGCAAUGCCGCGUGUGUGAUGAAGGCCUUCGGGUUGUAAAGCACUUUUGGCGGGAACGAAAAGGACUGUGCCAAUACCACGGUUCGAUGACGGUACCCGCAGAAUAAGCACCGGCUAACUACGUG